UUAGGUUGAAAGCCAUAG
rnacentral:snRNA from 1 species